GACGAACGCUGGCGGCGUGCUUAACACAUGCAAGUCGAACGGAAAGGCUCCACCUUGCUGGAGUGCUCGAGUGGCAAACGGGUGAGUAACACGUGGGCAAUCUGCCCUGCACUCUGGGAUAAGCCUGGGAAACUGGGUCUAAUACCGGAUAGGACCUUUCUCCUCAUGGGGUUUGGUGGAAAGUUUUUCGGUGCAGGAUGGGCCCGCGGCCUAUCAGCUUGUUGGUGGGGUAAUGGCCUACCAAGGCGACGACGGGUAGCCGGCCUGAGAGGGUGAUCGGCCACAUUGGGACUGAGAUACGGCCCAGACUCCUACGGGAGGCAGCAGUGGGGAAUAUUGCACAAUGGGCGCAAGCCUGAUGCAGCGACGCCGCGUGAGGGAUGAAGGCCUUCGGGUUGUAAACCGCUUUCAGUAGGGACGAAGCGCAAGUGACGGUACCUGCAGAAGAAGCACCGGCUAACUACGUG
rnacentral:rRNA from 1 species